rnacentral:rRNA from 1 species
UGGGGAAUAUUGCACAAUGGGGGAAACCCUGAUGCAGCAACGCCGCGUGAGUGAUGACGGUCUUCGGAUUGUAAAGCUCUGUCUUUAGGGACGAUAAUGACGGUACCUAAGGAGGAAGCCACGGCUAACUACGUGCCAGCAGCCGCGGUAAUACGUAGGUGGCAAGCGUUGUCCGGAUUUACUGGGCGUAAAGGGAGCGUAGGUGGAUAUUUAAGUGGGAUGUGAAAUACCCGGGCUUAACCUGGGUGCUGCAUUCCAAACUGGAUAUCUAGAGUGCAGGAGAGGAAAGGAGAAUUCCUAGUGUAGCGGUGAAAUGCGUAGAGAUUAGGAAGAAUACCAGUGGCGAAAGGCGCCUUUCUGGACUGUAACUGACACUGAGGCUCGAAAAGCGUGGGGAGCAAAACAGGAUUAGACACCCUGGUAGGUCCACGCCGUAAACGAUGAAUACUAGGUGUAGGGGUUGUCAUGACCUCUGUGCCGCGCUAACGCAUUAAGUAUUCCGCCUGGGGAGUACGGUCGCAAGAUUAAAACUUAAAGGAAUUGACGGGGUCAUAGCUGUUUCCU